rnacentral:lncRNA from 1 species
GUUGCGAGUGUCUCGUUGUCGUUCAACGCACUAUGAUCUCCUACAGUUUCAAUAUAUAUUUUUCUUAAGACUUUGCUCAGAGGAAAGUAAUAGAAUAGGUUUGGAUAUACAUUUUAAAUCCCCAAAAUUUUAUUUUAAACUAUUAAUUUUGAAGACGUGUGUUAUCUAAACGAAGUCUAAAUGGUCACCAAAUCACCUGUUUAUUGUCUGUUUGGGUUUAUUAUUUUAAGCAUAAAGUUUAUAAAUCCAUCUCUGAACACACAUUAUACAUGUAUAGCAUUAAGUCAAAGUAAACAUUAAACUUAUGAAUGGCGGAAAAGAAAUAUCUGAAAACGAUAGAUGGAUGUUGGAUGUGUACGGAUUGAUAGUUUAGUCUUAGUUGCAUGAUUUUUUUAUUAGUUGUUAGUGACUUUGAACUAGCUGUCAGAUAACUGCGAAUACUCUCAGAUUUGUUCAUUGUGUCUUUUUGUGUCGGGAUGUAUAAGUACCGGGCCGCGUCCACUUGUAUUUUUGUCCAUCUGAUGAGUUAAGCCUUUUUCAUCUGAUUUUUAUAGUUCGUUCUUAUGUUGUACUGUUAUACCACUGUCCCAGGUUAGGUGGAGGGUGGGGAUCCCGCUAACAUGUUUAACCCCGCCACAUAAUUUAUGUAUGUGCCUGUCCCAAGUCAGGAGCCUGUAAUUCAGUGGUUGUCAUUUGUUUAUGUGUUACAUAUUUGUUUUUCGUUCAUUUUUUUACAUAAAUAAGGCCGUUAGUUUUCUCGUUUGAAUUGUUUUACAUUGUCUUAUCGGGGCCUUUUAUAGCUCACUAUGCGGUAUGGGCUUUGCUCAUUGUUGAAGGCCGUACGGUGACCUAUAGUUGUUAAUGUCUGUGUCAUUUUGGUCUUUUGUGGAUAGUUGUUUCAUUGGCAAUCAUACCACAUCUUCUUUUUUAUACUAUCAGUACACUAUUCUAUCAACAUGUGUUUGGUGUCCAUUUUACAAUAUAUAUUGUUUAAGAAUUUAGUGUUUUCUUAUUCAUUCUGACAUCUGUGUCCAUGGCUGUUAACAAGAAAUUGCGAAGACGUUAUGCUUAUCUGUUCACCUUUAAAAAUGAUUUUUCA